rnacentral:lncRNA from 1 species
UGCAUUAGUUAUUAUUGCAGUAAUGCUGUGCAACAGUGACAAAAACCUCAAUGCCAUACAAUAAUUUAUUGAAUCCACUUGCCUGAAGGAUAAAGAAGGUUUUAGUUUUUAUUCUUAUUUAUUUCCAGGCUGGAAAUAAAACUCAAAGUUUCACACUUAUUAGGCAAGUGCUCUACCACUGAGAUAUGCCUGCAACUUCUGGUAGAAUCCAGGGAAAAUAGACAACAUGAGAGUGUGAGGAAGACUAUCAGAGAAGAAGAAGGGGAUGAGGGAGAGGUUUUUAUUUAUAACAGAAGAGAUGCAAGCAGUGAAUGCAUAAAAUACAGCAAAAUAAUAUAAAUGUGUGAAUGAGAGAAGAAAAAAUCAAGAGAAAUCAAGGAAGUAAGUUGCUGUUGUCCGUAUAUCAAGACGAAUGCGGUUGGUUGCUUUUGCUGUCUGCUGCAUGCCACUCUGCCUUAGAACCAGCCAACUAUGGACUGAAACCUCUACAAACUGUGGAACUAUGGUCCAGAAAAGAACUCUGGAGUACACAGAUUGUACAGCCCCA